GCCGUUGUAGCUCAGUUGGCAGAGCGACGCAUUCGUAACGCGUAGGUCAUCAGUUCAAUCCUGAUCAACGGCUCCA
rnacentral:tRNA from 1 species